GACGAACGCUGGCGGCGUGCUUAACACAUGCCAGUCGAACGGAAAGGCCCUGCUUUUGUGGGGUGCUCGAGUGGCGAACGGGUGAGUAACACGUGAGUAACCUGCCCUUGACUUUGGGAUAACUUCAGGAAACUGGGGCUAAUACCGGAUAGGAGCUCCUGCUGCAUGGUGGGGGUUGGAAAGUUUCGGCGGUUGGGGAUGGACUCGCGGCUUAUCAGCUUGUUGGUGGGGUAGUGGCUUACCAAGGCUUUGACGGGUAGCCGGCCUGAGAGGGUGACCGGCCACAUUGGGACUGAGAUACGGCCCAGACUCCUACGGGAGGCAGCAGUGGGGAAGAUUGCACAAUGGGCGGAAGCCUGAUGCAGCAACGCCGCGUGCGGGAUGACGGCCUUCGGGUUGUAAACCGCUUUCGCCUGUGACGAAGCGUGAGUGACGGUAAUGGGUAAAGAAGCACCGGCUAACUACGUG
rnacentral:rRNA from 1 species